rnacentral:rRNA from 1 species
UACGUAGGUCCCGAGCGUUGCCCGGAUUUAUUGGGCGUAAAGCGAGCGCAGGUGGUUUAUUAAGUCUGGUGUAAAAGGCAGUGGCUCAACCAUUGUAUGCAUUGGAAACUGGUAGACUUGAGUGCAGGAGAGGAGAGUGGAAUUCCAUGUGUAGCGGUGAAAUGCGUAGGUAUAUGGAGGAACACCGGUGGCGAAAGCGGCUCUCUGGCCUGUAACUGACACUGAGGCUCGAAAGCGUGGGGAGCAAACAGG